rnacentral:ncRNA from 2 species
AAACGUGCUCCGGGGUCGGUGCAAGUCCGAACCGGCGGUGAUAGUCCGCGAGCCGGGAGCGCGUGGCCGUCCGGCCGCGCGCGAACGGUUGAACCGGUGGAACUCCGGUACCGACGGUGAAAGUCCGGAUGGGAGGCGGCACGGGU